rnacentral:rRNA from 1 species
AAUGGCGGUUGUGACUGCAAGACUGGAGUACGGCAGAGGGAGGUGGAAUUCCACGUGUAGCAGUGAAAUGCGUAGAGAUGUGGAGGAACACCGAUGGCGAAGGCAGCCUCCUGGGCCAGUACUGACGCUCAUGCACGAAAGCGUGGGGAGCAAACAGGAUUAGAUACCCUGGUAGUCCACGCCCUAAACGAUGGCCACUGGGUGUUCGGUGGGGAGACUCAUUGAGUACCGAAGCUAACGCGUGAAGUGGCCCGCCUGGGGAGUACGGCCGCAAGGUUAAAACUCAAAGGAAUUGACGGGGACCCGCACAAGCGGUGGAUGAUGUGGAUUAAUUCGAUGCAACGCGAAAAACCUUACCUACCCUUGACAUGUACGGAACCUUGCGGAGAUGCAAGGGUGCCCGAAAGGGAGCCGUAACACAGGUGCUGCAUGGCUGUCGUCAGCUCGUGUC